UUCUUAUCAAGAGAGACGGAGGGACUGGCCCUAUGAUGUCUCAGCAACCAGCCAAACUUCUGGUCAGGUGCUAAUUCCAUCAAGCUUACGAGCUUGAAAGAUAAGAG
rnacentral:ncRNA from 2 species